AGCGAACGCUGGCGGCAGGCCUAACACAUGCAAGUCGAACGAACCUUUCGGGGUUAGUGGCGGACGGGUGAGUAACACGUGGGAACGUGCCUUUAGGUUCGGAAUACCUCAGGGAAACUUGUGCUAAUACCGAAUGUGCCCUUCGGGGGAAAGAUUAAUCGCCUUUAGAGCGGCCCGCGUCUGAUUAGCUAGUUGGUUGAGGUAAUGGCUCACCAAGGCGACGAUCAGUAGCUGGUCUGAGAGGAUGAUCAGCCACAUUGGGACUGAGACACGGCCCAAACUCCUACGGGAGGCAGCAGUGGGGAAUCUUGCGCAAUGGGCGAAAGCCUGACGCAGCCAUGCCGCGUGAAUGAUGAAUGUCUUAGGAUUGUAAAAUUCUUUCACCGGGGACGAGAAUGACGGUACCCGGUGAAGAAGCCCCGGCUAACUUCGUG
rnacentral:rRNA from 1 species